rnacentral:rRNA from 11 species
UUUGAGAGUUUGAUCCUGGCUCAGGAUGAACGCUGGCGGUAUGCUUAACACAUGCAAGUUGAACGCGAAUUUUUAAUUCGAGUAGCGAACGGGUGAGUACAACGUGAGAACCUACCUUUAGGAGGGGUAUAAAAAGCCCCAUAUGCCUUACGGUGAAAUGGAUUUAAAAAUCUGCCUGAAGAUGGGCUCGC